rnacentral:lncRNA from 1 species
AUGCGGCUGGAGCGUGCAGGGAAUGGGGGAGGCAGCGCCGUGGGGCGAGGAGAAGCGAACGCAGCUGAGCUGGCGGGCCCGCUGAUGGCAUGCGCAGCCGAUGGGGGAGGAGAAGCGAGCGCUUUGCCUGGAGGUCCCACGGAGGUGAAGCGCGAGCAGCGGCAGGAGGAGAAGCGAGUGGAUGUCUCCGACUUCACCGCCCGAGCAAUCGCAUGCUGCCACGUCUUCACCUACACGUUCUUCAGCGUCCUCGGGACCCCAGUCUGGCGUUGGCGCAUUCAUGUCAUCGUCUCACUCUGCUGCGGUAGAUUCCACGUCAGGAUCUUCUGGUCACACGAGCUGAUGAGCACCACAGAAGAUCCAUCAUCAGCUCAGAAUAAUGACGAUGACGAUGAUGAUGAUGAUGAUGAUGAUGAUGAUGAUGAUGAUGAUGAUGAUGAUGAUGGUCCUCCUCGUCCUCGCACAAGUGUGUGGAAUCAGAAAGGAGAAGGUCUACACUGAUGGUACAGUA